UCGACAAACACCAUGCGGCUGGGUUCCGUAGCUUUUGUGAUACUUUUCCUCCGCAGAUGUCUCGGUGCUGAAUUGAUACAGUCUCCGAUGUCCAUCACCAGAAAUGUGGGCAAUCGUGCCCGCAUGAGCUGCGAUCUGGGCACAGUGAACAAGGACUAUAUCCACUGGUACCGGCAGCCAGAUGGCCAACGCCCAGUCAGGAUCCUCUAUUUCAAUAAUGGAGGCACCAGACGCGACGAUGGAAUUGAUAACAGAUUUUCAGCGAACAAUGCUGGACAAAAGCUGUAUUUUCUAACUGUGACCCGUCUCGAGAAAGAGGAUUCCGGCACUUAUUACUGUGCCUAUUGGGACCCACAGAGUUAA